rnacentral:rRNA from 1 species
UACCCGCAGCUCAAGUGGUGGUCAUUAUUAUUGGGCCUAAAGCGUCCGUAGCUGGUUUGUUAAAUGCCUGGGUAAAUCGAUGCGCUUAACGUAUCGAAUUCCGGGUAGACUGGCAAACUCGAGACCGGGAGAGGUGUAGGCUACUCGAGGGGUAGGGGUAAAAUCCUGUAAUCCUUCGGGGAGGACCAGUGGCGAAGGCGCUACACUAGAACGGCUCUGACAGUGAGGGACGAAGCCCUGGGGCGCAAACCGG